GACGAACGCUGGCGGCGUGCUUAACACAUGCAAGUCGAACGGUAAGGCCCUUCGGGGUACACGAGUGGCGAACGGGUGAGUAACACGUGGGUUAUCUGCCCUGCACUUCGGGAUAAGCCUGGGAAACUGGGUCUAAUACCGGAUAGGACCACUGCCUGCAGGGGUGGGGGUGGAAAGCUUUUGCGGUGUGGGAUGGGCCCGCGGCCUAUCAGCUUGUUGGUGGGGUGGUGGCCUACCAAGGCGACGACGGGUAGCCGGCCUGAGAGGGUGACCGGCCACACUGGGACUGAGAUACGGCCCAGACUCCUACGGGAGGCAGCAGUGGGGAAUAUUGCACAAUGGGCGCAAGCCUGAUGCAGCGACGCCGCGUGAGGGAUGACGGCCUUCGGGUUGUAAACCUCUUUCAGCACCGACGAAGCGCAAGUGACGGUAGGUGCAGAAGAAGGACCGGCCAACUACGUGCCAGCCGCCGCAGUAA
rnacentral:rRNA from 1 species